rnacentral:rRNA from 1 species
UACAGAGGUGGCAAGCGUUGUUCGGAAUUACUGGGCGUAAAGGGCGCGUAGGCGGCCUUGUAAGUCCUGUGUGAAAUCCCCCGGCUCAACUGGGGAACUGCACAGGAGACUGCUUGGCUUGAGUUCGGGAGAGGGAAGCGGAAUUCCGGGUGUAGCGGUGAAAUGCGUAGAUAUCCGGAGGAACACCGGUGGCGAAGGCGGCUUCCUGGACCGACACUGACGCUGAGGCACGAAAGCGUGGGGAGCAAACAGG